AUGAUAAUCACUUUCUUCUGCAUAAGCCUUAACAUUAUCCUCGUGUCAGGUUCCUCACUCAGUGACCAAGUCUUCCAGACUCCAGCUGAUAUGUAUAAAAAUCAAGGACAAAGAGCUGAAAUCAACUGUGUACACAAGAUAACUAACUAUGAUCGCAUCUUGUGGUACAAGCAAACAGAAAACAGUCAACUACAGCUCCUGGGAUACAUGGUAGGAACAAGCCCAUUUCUAGAGCCCAGAGUGACUGUGACAAUUCAUGGGAAUGCAAAUAAAGACCAGACCUGCACACUGACAAUUAAAGAUCUCACCCUGAACAGCAGUGCAGUGUACUUCUGUGCUGCUAGACGACAUCAGCGUGACUCUGGAACUGAAGCUUACUUUGGAAAAGGAACAAAACUCACUGUUUUAGAAGAAAACAGGGAAAGCACUCCACCACAAGAAGUAAAAAUACUGGGACCUUCAGAACAUGAGUGCAGAAACAGCAAAGACAAAAAAAGGAAGAAGACCCUCGUCUGUGUGGCCUCUGGUUUCUACCCUGACCAUGUCGAAGUGUAUUGGCAAAUGAAUGAGAAAAAUGUCACUGAUGGUGUGGCGACAGAUGAAGCUGCAGAGCGCAUUGAAACCCCCCCUGUAUCCUAUAGAAUCACAAGCAGGUUGAGAGUUUCUGCUAAAGAUUGGUACACGGAGGGACAAAACUUUACCUGCAUUGUCAGUUUCUAUAAUGGAAAGAACAACACCAAAUAUUCAUUUACAAAACUUGGUGUUGAAGAUCAAGAAGAUAGAGGCAUAGGAAGAGAGAAAUAUUUGAAGAUCACAAAUAAUGCCAAACUCUCCUACGCCGUUUUUAUCUUCAAGAGCUGCCUCUAUGGAGCCUUUGUUGGAUUUUUGGUGUGGAGGCUGCAGAGUUCACCAGGAAAACGUAAAAAAUAAGAGCUGAGCUGUGGACUGACCAAAGAUUUGGGACUUGGAUCAUUUAUGUUUUUUGUAAAUAAAAACUAUAAAAGAUGCUGAUUUUAUUGCCACAACUUUGUGUGCUGCAGCCCAUUUGCAUAGAGGAAAAGGUGCAUGCAGGUCUAUGCAAAAGUUAAAUCUUCAUAUAAUAUUAAAGCUAAUGCAUGAAAGUAAGUUUGGCUAAUUUUAUUUUUGUUUUAUUGUGUUUAUGAAACACUGGCUGUAUUCUUGCUGAACAAUUUCCACUUAAUGCUUCAUUUUCAUAUCAAUAAACAUUUAUGAGAGGA